rnacentral:rRNA from 1 species
CCUACGGGAGGCAGCAGUAGGGAAUCUUUCACAAUGGGCGAAAGCCUGAUGGAGCAACGCCGCGUGCAGGAUGAAGGCCUUCGGGUUGUAAAAUGCUUUUAUAAGCGAGAAAUAUGAUGGUAACUGAUGAAUACGGAUCGGCUAACUACGUGCCAGCAGCCGCGGUCAUACGUAGGAUCCGAGCAUUAUCCGGAGUGACUGGGUGUAAAGAGUUGCGUAGGUGGCAUAAUAAGUAGCUAGUGAAAUCUGGUGGCUCAACCAUUCAGACUAUUAGCUAAACUGUUAAGCUCGAGACCGUUAGGGGUAACUGGAAUUUCUAUUGUAGGAGUGAAAUCCGUAGAUAUUAGAAGGAACACCAAUAGCGUAGGCAGGUUACUGGGACGGGUCUGACACUAAGGCACGAAAGCGUAGGGAGCAAACGGGAUUAGAUACCCUUGUAGUC